UACGGAGGAUCCAAGCGUUAUCCGGAAUCAUUGGGUUUAAAGGGUCCGUAGGCGGUUUGGUAAGUCAGUGGUGAAAGCCCAUCGCUCAACGGUGGAACGGCCAUUGAUACUGCCAGACUUGAAUUAUUAGGAAGUAACUAGAAUAUGUAGUGUAGCGGUGAAAUGCUUAGAGAUUACAUGGAAUACCAAUUGCGAAGGCAGGUUACUACUAAUGGAUUGACGCUGAUGGACGAAAAGCGUGGGGUAGCGAAACAGGG
rnacentral:rRNA from 1 species